rnacentral:rRNA from 1 species
AGUGAACGCUGGCGGUAGGCCUAACACAUGCAAGUCGAACGGCAGCACAGUAAGAGCUUGCUCUUACGGGUGGCGAGUGGCGGACGGGUGAGGAAUACAUCGGAAUCUACUUUUUCGUGGGGGAUAACGUAGGGAAACUUACGCUAAUACCGCAUACGACCUACGGGUGGAAGCAGGGGAUCUUCGGACCUUGCGCGAUUGAAUGAGCCGAUGUCGGAUUAGCUAGUUGGCGGGGUAAAGGCCCACCAAGGCGACGAUCCGUAGCUGGUCUGAGAGGAUGAUCAGCCACACUGGAACUGAGACACGGUCCAGACUCCUACGGGAGGCAGCAGUGGGGUAUAUUGGACAAUGGGCGCAAGCCUGAUCCAGCCAUACCGCGUGGGUGAAGAAGGCCUUCGGGUUGUAAAGCCCUUUUGUUGGGAAAGAAAAGCAGCAGGUUAAUACCCCGCUGUUCUGACGGUACCCAAAGAAUAAGCACCGGCUAACUUCGUG